AACUUUAUUUCAAGGGUCCUUUCCCUUUAUUGAUUUUGAUACGCAUAUUGAUUUUGUUGGUGUGGUAUCAUCAAGGGUUGUUUAAUCUGAGGUGUGGGGUAUGAUUGUUGCUGAUAUUGGUUAGGCAUAAUAGCCACAACUUGAUAAUAUGGUACUGGAGCAUAAUGAUAGGCUUUGGCAUUCCCUUUAACAUCCAUCCCUGCAUUUGUAUCUCCCUCAUUUUUGGUAAGUUAGAGGAAAG
rnacentral:lncRNA from 1 species